rnacentral:sRNA from 1 species
UGUUUUUUAACUAUCUUCUUUUUUUAAAACACUGCCAUUGUUGCUCUUAUAUUGACUUUUUAUUUAGCAAAAAAUAAAUUUAGGAAAAAGUAAAACUUCUUCAAAGUCUGAUUUAUAUAAAAGAGGUUUAUACAGAGAUUAAAAUGAAUGUACCAUAUAAAAACACUUCCUAUAGAUUACUUUAAGGAAUCAUUCUUUGAGAAUUAUGGGAUUAAAAUUUUGGUUGGGGUGUGAUCAAAUCGAAUAAAGCCUGAGAGCUUUAUGAGCGAUAUGCAUGAUCAUGCCCUAAAUGAAAUUAUUACCUCAUAAUAUUCAAAAAUUCAUUUGUUAUUACUCAUAUUUACAAAAGUUUUCAGCAAUUUUAGAAAUAUUUGAAUAUAAAUAAGCAAACCCCGCUUGUGCCCCAAUUGUAAGUGAUUUGAAUUUAUUGGACUGUAUAUAGUACAAAAUUGAUACAUGUACGAGGUGAUAUCACAGGAAAAGACACUGAAAAAUGUAAAUAUAUCCAAUUACUGUGAUGUAUGUCAUUUUAAUGUAGCUGUAGCUAUAUAUUGCUUGCGUUUUAGCUGUGUAGAUGCUUUAGUAAUCUAUUUACAUAAACCAUACAUUUUUUGUAGAAUGAAUUUUUAAGAAAGAUGACCGAAAAAUUAAAUCGCCUAAGUUAGUGACAUUAUCCCAUUUAAGCACGCUUGGAACGAUGUCUCAGUUUAAAAUAGUUAUACUCAAUGAAAGAUAUAUACAUGUACAUGUACUUGUAACCAUUCAACAUGCAUAUUAUAAUAUAUAUAAAAAGUAUACAUAUAUAUCCUAUUGUAUAUGUUCCUGUAUUUGAUAUUUUAUAAUAAAAAGUUUAUUAUAUUAC